rnacentral:lncRNA from 1 species
UUAUCACAAUGGGCUUACAACCUUCCAAUGGAAAUCCCUUCUUGCUACACCUUCUUUGAAGCACCUUCCGAUUCCGCGAAUCCCGCUUCGGAAUACUUCUUAGAAUUCCUCCAAUCUACCUUGGAAGUCUUUGAAUCAAGCAAGAAGAACAAAAGAGCUCCUUCUCCAACCCUCUCUACACCUCUAUUCUCUAUUACAAGAAAAGGGAAAACCUAGAGAGCAAAAAUAAGAACACACUCUCUCUAACCCAAAGAGUUCUCUCUUAACUCCACUUGGCCCAACAUACCAAAUGGGUCAACUAAAGCCCAUAUCAAAUACUAACUAGCCCAUUACAUGAGUUGUUGAACCAAACCCAAAAUAAAACCAAUUAGGCUAAUAAGUGAAUUUGAUAUCACUAACCCAACAAAUCGCAAGCAGCUUUUACAUAAGAGUUAGAAACAACAUAGGUUUUACAAAAGCCCAAAAUAAGUGAAUUUUUUAUGCAAAUUGGCCUUAAUAAUAAGAACAGUAACAUCGAACACUGAUAAUU